ensembl:lncRNA
CUCCCACCACCUCAGCAGCUAUUAGGCUUGCGGCGAUGGGACAGCUCCAGUGGAAAAGAGAAACGAGUCGCUGAAGGUCCCAAGUUACAUCCACAAAAAGAGCAUUUAGGUGGGCCUUGCCAGUCCAUCGGAAGCCGAAACAAGAAAAGUCAGACUUCCGCUGAGCAAAUGGGAAUGUUCCAGCAGUCUUCCUCCGUACUGUGGCUGUGUCUUUUCCCAGAGUCCUGCCCGUCAGCUUCCCCACUGGACUUCAAACUUGACAAGACUCUGCAAUCAUGUGAGCCAACUUCAUAGAUUGGAUCUCUCCCCCUUCUCUCAGUAGAAUGAACAUACAUCAUUGUAUAUAACGACCUAUAUACAUAUAACACAUUUUUUCCUAAUAAAAAAUAAUAGCAACAAG